GAUGAACGCUGGCGGCAUGCUUUACACAUGCAAGUCGGACGGGAAGUGGUGUUUCCAGUGGCGGCCGGGUGAGUAACGCGUAAGAACCUGCCCUUGGGAGGGGAACAACAGCUGGAAACGGCUGCUAAUACCCCGUAGGCUGAGGAGCGAAAGGAGGAAUCCGCCCAAGGAGGGGCUCGCGUCUGAUUAGCUAGUUGGUGAGGUAAUAGCUUACCAAGGCCGUGAUCAGUAGCUGGUCCGAGAGGAUGAUCAGCCACACUGGGACUGAGACAAGGCCCAGACUCCUACGGGAGGCAGCAGUGGGGAAUUUUCCGCAAUGGGCGAAAGCCUGACGGAGCAAUGCCGCGUGGAGGUAAAAGGCCUACGGGUCAUGAACUUCUUUUCCUGGAGAAGAAACAAUGACGGUAUCUGGGGAAUAAGCAGCGGCUAACUCUGUG
rnacentral:rRNA from 1 species